GACGAACGCUGGCGGCGUGCCUAAUACAUGCAAGUCGAACGCUUCUUUUUCACCGAACUUCGGUUCAUCGAAAAAGAGGAGUGGCGAACGGGUGAGUAACACGUGGGUAACCUGCCCAUCAGAAGGGGAUAACACUUGGAAACAGGUGCUAAUACCGUAUAAUGCUUUUUCUCGCAUGAGAGCAAGCUGAAAGGCGCUUUUGCGUCACUGAUGGAUGGACCCGCGGUGCAUUAGCUAGUUGGUGAGGUAACGGCUCACCAAGGCCACGAUGCAUAGCCGACCUGAGAGGGUGAUCGGCCACACUGGGACUGAGACACGGCCCAGACUCCUACGGGAGGCAGCAGUAGGGAAUCUUCGGCAAUGGACGAAAGUCUGACCGAGCAACGCCGCGUGAGUGAAGAAGGUUUUCGGAUCGUAAAACUCUGUUGUUAGAGAAGAACAAGGAUGAGAGUAAAAUGUCAUCCCCUG
rnacentral:rRNA from 1 species